AUGCCAUCUCAAAUGGAACACGCCAUGGAAACCAUGAUGUUUACAUUUCACAAAUUCGCUGGGGAUAAAGGCUACUUAACAAAGGAGGACCUGAGAGUACUCAUGGAAAAGGAGUUCCCUGGAUUUUUGGAAAUCAAAAAGACCCUCUGGCUGUGGACAAAAUAAUGAAGGACCUGGACCAGUGUAGAGAUGGCAAAGUGGGCUUCCAGAGCUUCUUUUCCCUAAUUGCGGGCCUCACCAUUGCAUGCAAUGACUAUUUUGUAGUACACAUGAAGCAGAAGGGAAAGAA
rnacentral:lncRNA from 1 species